ACUGGACCGCCUGUCAGUGUUGGCUAGCAACACUGCUCUGUUUGUUCUGGGAGUUGCUUCAGAGAAACGCGGAGGAUGAGACAAGAUGACACAGUAUCUCCCGAAGCAGCACCUCGCAUGCAGCUCCAAACCCAGGAGGGUAACCUUGACUAUAAGAAGCCCCUGUUGAGAUCGCUCGCUGUGAUUCUGCCCAUCAGAGACAAGUCCUUCACAAUGAAACCACAUCUGUCUCUUGAUGAAGCGUGGCAGCUAGCAGUUCCUCAGCCUUCCUGUGUCCCAGGAAUGGGCUAAGGUACUCUGCAGUUGGCAGCAAGAAACUUAACCCGGCCAAGUAAGAAAGUCAGGUGUGUGAGCACGCUCGACAAAGCCCGGCCGUCAUGGCCCAGUCUUCAGCAAAUGUUCCGAAGACUCAUGGCCUCCUGACCCAAUCUAUGUGGUGAACUCGGCAGAGCCGAGCCCAGAGGCAAGGCCACCACCCUCUCCUGCCUCCAGCCAAAUUCAGAGC
rnacentral:lncRNA from 1 species